rnacentral:rRNA from 1 species
GAUGAACGCUGGCGGCGUGCCUAAUACAUGCAAGUCGAGCGAACAGACGAGGAGCUUGCUCCUCUGACGUUAGCGGCGGACGGGUGAGUAACACGUGGAUAACCUACCUAUAAGACUGGGAUAACUUCGGGAAACCGGAGCUAAUACCGGAUAACAUGUUGAACCGCAUGGUUCAACAGUGAAAGACGGUCUUGCUGUCACUUAUAGAUGGAUCCGCGCCGCAUUAGCUAGUUGGUAAGGUAACGGCUUACCAAGGCAACGAUGCGUAGCCGACCUGAGAGGGUGAUCGGCCACACUGGAACUGAGAAACGGUCCAGACUCCUACGGGAGGCAGCAGUGGGGAAUCUUCCGCAAUGGGCGAAAGCCUGACGGAGCAACGCCGCGUGAAUGAAGAAGGUCUUCGGAUCGUAAAACUCUGUUAUUAGGGAAGAACAAAUGUGUAAGUAACUAUGCACGUCUUGACGGUACCUAAUCAGAAAGCCACGGCUAACUACGUG